rnacentral:rRNA from 1 species
UUUCGCCUACGGGGCGCAGCAGUGGGGAAUAUUGCACAAUGGGGGAAACCCUGAUGCAGCGACGCCGCGUGAGCGAUGAAGUAUUUCGGUAUGUAAAGCUCUAUCAGCAGGGAAGAAAAUGACGGUACCUGACUAAGAAGCCCCGGCUAACUACGUGCCAGCAGCCGCGGUAAUACGUAGGGGGCAAGCGUUAUCCGGAUUUACUGGGUGUAAAGGGAGCGUAGACGGCCGUUCAAGCCAGAUGUGAAAGCCCGGGGCUCAACCCCGGGACUGCAUUUGGAACUGUGCGGCUAGAGUGUCGGAGG